UCAUUCCUCAGUUCGGUAAGGUUUAGCAGACCGCCGAAACCCCGAGUCAUGGGCUUUGCAUCCGGCAGCGUAAGGUGUCGAGUUAAGCGUUGACAGGGGAAAGCAUAGGCUGGGUAUUGAGCUGCGCUUACGUUUUAGAAUAAGUAUCUUUAAGAGUGCUGAGCUAGUUGUGUGAUAAGGAAGGCAAUACGAUGAAUAGCCAUAAAACCUGCCAGGUGACGCUAGUUAUUCUUCGGCUCUUCGCAGUCAUAGACCU
rfam:Osedax symbiont Rs1 5221_29, whole genome shotgun sequence.